rnacentral:lncRNA from 1 species
GUUCCAGGAAGCGACGCCAGGAGAAGGUCGGCCACCAGACCGGGAGUUGAAGACGGGCCGUCGGGUUCCAGACACGAACCACCAGGACUUCACUCGACCGGGGCCUCCUGCCAACACGUUCAUGGGCGUCGCCACUCUACCCGAUCAUGCGGCCAGCCGCUCAA